UACGUAGGGUGCAAGCGUUAAUCGGAAUUACUGGGCGUAAAGCGCGUGUAGGUGGAUUGGUGUGUCAGAUGUGAAAUCCCUGGGCUCAACCCAGGAACUGCACCUGAAACUACCAGUCUUGAGUGGUGGAGAGGGAAGUGGAAUUCCUGGUGUAGAGGUGAAAUUCGUAGAUAUCAGGAGGAACACCAGUGGCGAAGGCGGCUUCCUGGACACCAACUGACGCUGAGACGCGAAAGCGUGGGGAGCAAACAGG
rnacentral:rRNA from 1 species